rnacentral:rRNA from 1 species
GGGGGGGGGGAACCCUGACGCAGCGACGCCGCGUGAGGGAAGAAGGUCUUCGGAUUGUAAACUUCUUUGAUGAGGGACGAAGGAAGUGACGGCACCUCAAAAACAAGCCACGGCUAACUACGUGCCAGCCGCCGCGGUAAUAAGU